GAGUAGAACCUCCUAUGAGAGAGAGUUUUUCUGCAAGUUCUUCUGGCAGUUCUUUAUUCUAAAAGUGGAGGCUGGUAAAGAAUGUGAUGACUGGACCUGAGACCCUGUUCCUGGUGAGGCUGUUCUACUGACACGCAGAAAGAAAAAUCACCUGGAAUAAUUUUUGUGGUACCCAACACAAAGCGAAGAAGGAAGGAAGAUGUCUUGUUGAAUAAUGAUCUUGGUCUCUUCUUAUUGAGAAUCCUCAUGGCAUAGUGGAUGGAGAACCGACCUCAAAGUCAGGAAAAUCUGAGUCUGAGUCCUGCAUCUAACUUGGGGAUGAACUCUGACGCAUGGUUUGAACCCUGGACCAGAACAAUAACUCCCAAAGGACAAUUGAUUGUAACAUCCUGGGCUUUACCAACUUAAUCUUCGUGAUGGAAUUUAAUUUUUAUUAAAGAGCAGGAAAUUCAGUUAAAUUCUACUAAACAGAGCCCUGAAGCCAUCUUUUCCGAAGCAAGUCUCCUGUGUGUAGCGCAGCCUCUGCUCUUGCCUGUCUCAAGUGCAGUCUGACUGCUAUGAGCUGACUGCGUUUCACAAUAUCUCAGUCACAAAAGUAGAAAAUAAUCUGUUUUGCCCUUUCGGAAUAACGUGUUCUGUGCCAGAGGUCUGGCUGUGACUGUGGUCUGCUGUAUUAUAUACAACUUGACGAAGGUUUGAUACACUGUCACUCACCCCUGAGGGGAGCUUUUUGUCAAGGUUAAUAAGAAAUACUGAAUUCGCUGAUGCACUGGAGGUUUGCUAUUGUGUAAGCCUCACUGUCCAAGCCUAGGGACCACCCCGUCCUUUGUCUCUUCAGUCAUUAAGCCCCUUUGAGGUUGGGAAUGAUAUGAUGAUUUUUCAAUCCCAGCUUUAUGGCGUACAGCCUGCGAGACUGUGGGUAAGUCACUUCCCUCCCCUAGACCUC